UACGGAGGGUGCAAGCGUUAUCCGGAAUCACUGGGUUUAAAGGGUGCGUAGGUGGCUUGGUAAGUCAGAGGUGAAAGCCCGUCGCUUAACGAUGGAAUUGCCUUUGAUACUGCUAAGCUUGAAUAAGGUUGAGGUAGGCGGAAUGUGGCAUGUAGCGGUGAAAUGCAUAGAUAUGCCAUAGAACACCAAUUGCGUAGGCAGCUUACUGGACCUAUAUUGACGCUGAGGCACGAAAGCGUGGGGAUCAAACAGG
rnacentral:rRNA from 1 species